CUGGGGUUGUGGCUCAGUGGCAGAGUGCUUGCCUAGCAUGCUUGAGGCACUGAGUUUGAUCCUCAGCACUAGA
rnacentral:tRNA from 1 species